rnacentral:rRNA from 1 species
CAAACACGAAAGUGGACGUAUAGGGUGUGACGCCUGCCCGGUGCCGGAAGGUUAAGUGAUGGGGUGCAAGCUCUUGAUCGAAGCCCCGGUAAACGGCGGCCGUAACUAUAACGGUCCUAAGGUAGCGAAAUUCCUUGUCGGGUAAGUUCCGACCUGCACGAAUGGCGUAACGAUGGCCACACUGUCUCCUCCUGAGACUCAGCGAAGUUGAAAUGUUUGUGAAGAUGCAAUCUACCCGCGGCUAGACGGAAAGACCCCGUGCACCUUUACUGUAGCUUUACAUUGGAUUUUGAUUAUUUUUGUGUAGGAUAGGUGGGAGGCUGUGAAAUAUGCUCGCCAGAGUGUAUGGAGCCAACCUUGAAAUACCACCCUGGAAUGAUCGGAGUUCUAACCCAGGUCCAUUAUCUGGAUCGGGGACCGUGUAUGGUAGGCAGUUUGACUGGGGCGGUCUCCUCCCAAAGAGUAACGGAGGAGUGCGAAGGUACGCUAGGUACGGUCGGAAAUCGUACUGAUAGUGCAAUGGCAUAAGCGUGCUUAACUGCGAGACUGACAAGUCGAGCAGAUGCGAAAGCAGGUCAUAGUGAUCCGGUGGUUCUGUAUGGAAGGGCCAUCGCUCAACGGAUAAAAGGUACUCUGGGGAUAACAGGCUGAUACCGCCCAAGAGUUCAUAUCGACGGCGGUGUUUGGCACCUCGAUGUCGGCUCAUCACAUCCUGGGGCUGUAGUCGGUCCCAAGGGUAUGGCUGUUCGCCAUUUAAAGUGGUACGUGAGCUGGGUUUAAAACGUCGUGAGACAGUUUGGUCCCUAUCUGCCGUGGGCGCUGGAAGUUUGAGAGGGCCUGCUCCUAGUACGAGAGGACCGGAGUGGACGCACCCCUGGUGUACCGGUUGUGACGCCAGUCGCAUCGCCGGGUAGCUAAGUGCGGAAGAGAUAACCGCUGAAAGCAUCUAAGCGGGAAACUUGCCAUAAGAUUAGAUUUCCCGGGAAUUUAAUUCCCCUAAAGGUUCGUUGAAGACUACAACGUUGAUAGGUCGAAUGUGUAAGCGUAGUAAUGCGUUAAGCUAAUCGAUACUAAUUGACCGUGAGGCUUGAUCCU